AUAAUAUGAUGUAUUCAUAAUGUAAUUGUUAUUUAUGUACGUUAUUUCCCUCUUUGCCAUAAAUGUCCCGAGAUGGAACGCACACGUCACAUAGUGUGCGUUCCAGCCGGCUUGUUGCCAUGCCAAUAUGACGUCAUCACGCCGGAAACCGGGCUGACGUCUUCAACGGAAUGACGUCAUAACCCGGAAGUGACGCACGACGAAACCGGAAGUGCGUUCCACUGCGAAAUUUUUGCGUUCCAAGAACAGAAAGUCGCAAAAACCCAGAUAUAAAAGGACAAUAAAGAAGAGGAGAAGUAUCACCGACUGAGGAAGCCCCUGGCACGGGGCGAAACGCGUAUCGGUAUUACAGAGACUCCCAUUUUUU